ensembl:lncRNA
ACUUCCAGAGACCUUCUACAAGGGCAGGAGUCCCUCAGCUCGGCUGCAGAGGACACAGCCCCGAUGCCAGGAGGAGCUCUUCUCUGAAUAAUUAGGCAACAAAUCCAACUGUGAAAAGCUUUGGGAGCCUGAGUCCCUCGUCCCCAUCCUUCACAGUAAAUAGAGGCUCCACCACCUCCCUAUCUUGCUCUUGACUUAGGAGCACCAGCUGUCGUUUCUACCAGGACCACAACUAUGACACCAGGCACAGCAAGCAGAAUCCCAGACCAUUAUGGAACCAGAUUUGGCAAUGUUUUUUGCUCCAGUUCCUCCCUUGAAAUUGAAGUCUCAUGUGUCAGCAUCACACUGUUGGAGCCAGAAGCCCUCUCCUCCUCCUGCCUGGAUUCUUCUGCUCCAAGCUGACACCACGGCUCGUUGCCAUCCUGGAUGUGGUUCCCAACAGCAGUAGAGCUGAAUGCUGGAAGACUGUUGUGUUUUUUUUCCUACCCUCAGUGCUAGACAGAAAAGUGAAUACAAUCCAUAACUCUGAAGGUUCUUCCCACAGCUUUUUCUGGAAAUACGGCAGUUAUAGAAUUCCACUAUUUCCUUUAGUUAUUAUUUCCUGUGAUGCCUUAGAAAGCACAUUCAGAAAAUACAGUUGGCUACAUAAUCUCUUUUAUAAAACAUGGAAUAAUCUUGUCUUUGGGAUGGGAGCAGAGGGGUUUUUGAGGCAGGUUUCAGCCUAGGCAAUGACAAUAUUUGAAAAAGAAUCAAAUUCUACUUCCCACAGUAUUUCAUAGAAUCAUAGAAUAGAAUCAUAGAAUCGUUAAGGUUGGAAGAAACCACUAAGAUCAUCUAGUCCAACCACCAACUCACUUCAAAUUAGCCAUACUUUCUCAGACUUUUCUCUUAGACUGCCAUGAGGAAAGAGUGCACAGGUGCCCCUACCAUCACAUUUCCUUCCAUAUAACACCAGUGAUGUCUUCCUAGAAGCCCUCCUGAAGCCAAAACAGAUAAACAUCUUAAGAGGACAGCAAAGGCACCACUCUUAUGAAUGGGUAAUAAUCCCUCCCUAGAAAUGUAGUGAAAGCUUGCACAACCUUUUCAGAUGCUUGACAAGACAUUUACUCUUGGAAGGCUGAUGUCAGAAAAGAUGUGAGUAAAGGGAUGGUCCUAUGGCAGGCUUAGCCUGAGCUCUGCCCAAAUGCUGUUCCUACUCUUAUCCUCUCCUGUUUGACAUAAAAUAUCUUGUACAAAGUCCUGCUGUGCCUUCAGCCCCUUCUGUCUGUCUACUGAGAUGGAUUCCAGUUUCCACUGGAGCAUGAGCUGAAAACCAGAGUUGGACAAAAACUGCUGUCCUCAGCUCUCAAUUUCAUUUUAUUUUUAAAAAUGACGUUUUUAUUGCCAAAAGUGUUGAAACUUGGAUAGGGCGAGCAAACUGAAAAUACACAAAAAUCAUUCUGGUCAGUCACAGUACUUCAUAUCCAUGUUUUUGAAGAAAAAAAAAAAUCAGCAAAAUACCAACAUUUUAUUUCUUUUUUCUUUCCAUAAGGCAUUUGGCAAUUUCAAAAUACCACUUUUGAAAUGUCAGUGUCUUUCAAUCAGACCAAUCUGCAAAGCUUAGCCAUUCCUGCCAGUACUUUCUACUUCAAAUAAUCGACAUUUUCUGAUGAAAUAAUAUUUAAGUUAAAAAAAAAAAAAACACAAUGUACAAAACAUAUUUCUGGUCAGUUCUGAUAACCUUGCAGAUCAGACUGAUCUCACUGCAGUGGGGAUGUCAGCUACAAAUGCUUCCUAAGUUCCUUUCCACAGUUCCCCAGUUGAUGGACAUCAACUGCCCUUCCAGCCAGCUGGGAAUGCUGGAAGAUGACUUUGAGGCCCUUGAAGCCCUGAUGAGUUCCAAUAAAGCGCUC